rnacentral:piRNA from 1 species
UACAUACCCUGUUCGCAAAAU